UCCUCGUUUAAGCGAGGCAGUCUGUCCAGAGUGCUCCCAAUUAAGGGGUGGCAACAGGACAAGGGUUGCGCUCGUUGCGGGACUUAACCCAACAUCUCACGACACGAGCUGACGACAGCCAUGCAGCACCUCGACUGGACCCCCUUGCGGGGUAGCGCUGUUUCCAACGCCGUUGACCAGCCGUUCGAGCCCAGGUAAGGUUCUUCGCGUUGCGUCGAAUUGAACCACAUGCUCCACCGCUUGUGCGGGCCCCCGUCAAUUCCUUUGAGUUUCAGCCUUGCGACUGCACUCCCCAGGCGGCAUAUUUAACGCGUUAGCUCCGGCACGGAUCAACUGAAUGACCCACACCAAAUAUGCAUCGUUUACGGCGUGGACUAC
rnacentral:misc_RNA from 1 species